rnacentral:snRNA from 1 species
GCCGGGUGUUCGAUUCACCCUGUCGAGAC